GCCCUCAUCGUCUAGCGGUCUAGGACACUGGCCUUUCAAGCCGGCGGCCGGGGUUCAAAUCCCCGUGGGGGCGCCA
rnacentral:tRNA from 1 species